CCCCCCCCCCCCAAAAAAAAAAUAAGUCUACCACAUGUAAACUUCUGGGAGACUGUUUUUAGAUUUGCAAUAUUCAAUUCAAUGCAGUAAAUCCUUCCAGUGAAGAGAUUUAUUGCAACGUUUGGUUUCCUACAAGAGGCUUGAAGAGGGAGGUAACAUCUCCCUUUCUUAAUGAGGUCAGUAUUGUAGGGAUGAUCUGGAAAAUGUUUAGGUGGACUCUUCGUACAAAGAAGUUGUACAGUUACUGCAGUUCCUAGAUGCCUCCCAAAUGUCUUUCCCAUCUAGCUUUCAUAAAAUAUUAUGAACAGCCAUGACAGCAUCACUAAAAAUCAUGUGUAGACUUCCACCUAAAUAUAACCUCCUACAUCUACUGUAAUGCCUUGCGAAGUUGGAUCCACCUGUGCGACAGCUUUGUUCUUGAUGAGAUGUGUGAUUUGGAUGAGGCUGUGAAUCAGAAGUGAAGUGUCAGUUAAUGUAAAGCAUGACUUUCUCCACAUGUUUAAAACUCUGAGGACCUUUCUGAUACCAAAUUACUCAAGUGUAUUUGCUCUCUGGUUCCACAGCCAUCUCCUUUGCACUUUGACAUUUAACCAGAAGAGCUGCCCACUUUUAAUUUCAUUUCAGAGAACAUGUAGAAAUAAGAUUCCUGCAUUAUAGUUUCCUAUAUGCAGAAUAACAAUUUGUAUCUGUAAAUGUGUUUAUAGAGAAUGUUACGUAGCUAAGGUUGAGUUUUUAGUCAGAAUGGUAAGUUAACUGCUUACGUGUUGUGUUUGGUUACAUAUUGGAAGUGCAAGGGAAUUUGGUGUGGUGCUUUAAGAGUUCACAACAUAACUAAUGCAGGUGUCAAGGAACUUGUGAUGCCAAGAUGAAUUUUCUGCUGUGAAGUUUCAGUUUACCAGAUGUGCUGUUUACUUACUCUAAGAUUGGGGAACACCUCCCUAGUAGUUUUGCAAAUUACCUUUCUUAGGAAAUUUCCACACAGUUACAGGCUUUUGUAUUAGUGAAUUUCUGCCACUUCAAGUUUUAAAGAAAUUAUUCUAAUUUUGCUGUGUGUGGAAACAUCCUUUGCUUGAGUGGCUACAGAAUUGCAAUUAGAAUAUCAGGAAGAUGUAGAGGGAGCUAGUUCCCUCAGUAAAAUGCAUUUCUGUCCAGAGCUCAAGCCAUACAUAAAAACAGUAUAUCUAAUGCCAUCCUUUCUGGUGGGAUCUAACAUGAAUAAAGCUUGUGCUGGUUCUCUGCAAGUAAACUGUCAUCCUGUGAGAUCAGAUGAAUUUGCCCACCUGUAAGUGUUGUUUCUCUUCAACAAACUCAGCCCACAAUUAUCUUUGCUUCAAUUUUGUUGUUUGCUUCUGCCUGAGAUGCAUUACUGUUUAUAUCCUAACUCUGUAAUUAAUUCUUUCUUCAAUUAUUCUAAUGUAUUUUGUUCCACAGUAUACUUAUUCUGAAUUUAGUCUUGCUAUGCUAAAUAAUUUAUUUAUUACUUGCAGUGUUACAUAAAAUAUCCUCCUGAUUGCACCUUGUCAGAGUGGAAUUGUUUUCUUGGCUACUACCAAAAGUUAGGUGUCUGUCCACUGUAUUAGAAAUAUGAUUUCAUUUUAAAAGGAAUUUGUUGUUAAGACACUUCAGUAAUUCAGUAUAUCAGAACAAAUGCUCUAAAAAAAAACUAUGCAUUUUCAUUUUAUUGAUACUCACAUUUCAGAUAAAUAAGUGGAAAAAAAGAAGCUUGAAAACCUGGUUCAUCUGUAGAGUUCUCUGGUCUCUUCCAUGUUUCACCUUAGAAGGAACCGCACAAAACAAAAUCUAAUUCUGACACAAUAUAAUUCCAUAAUCCCUCUAUUACUUACAAAAGAUUCACAAGGCUUAUUUCAUUAUGACUCAUAAGGGUAGCAGAGACUAAUUUAAAAAAUCUCUCUUUCCUGUAAAGAAUGAAUUCUUUAAUUCCUGAUUAGACUAUUAAGGGACCUAAGCUGAUUAAUUCCCAACACACAGACACGUGUAUAUUUACAUUUGCAUUCAUAUUUUACACUCCCCUAUUCACUUUAGACUUUGACAAAGUAUUUCAACUAAAAAAAGGGCAUUAUUGCUGAUUACUGAGAUCCUUUGUUUUCUAAUAUUUGUACCACUUUUUCAUACUGAGUUCUAAUUUGAGGACUGAUUUUCACGUUGUUCUAGAAAAAAAAUACACAAGUCUGUUUAUAUGCAGAAAAGAAAAUUGCUUUGCUAGAUACGUAAAUGUUUUAUUAAAAAUAAUUAUUUUUAAAGCAUUAUAAUUAUCACCUGCAAUUUAAAAUCAGUAGGGAUCACAAAAACAAGGAGACUUUGAGUGAUAUUUAUAUUAAAUACAAAUGAAGGUAGACUAAGCCUAAUUCUGCCCUUUUUUCUCUAACAGUCCUCUAUACAAAAAGCACAUUGGUAGCAGGGAAGGGCUUGUGCAUCUUACCUGACUAUUGCUAAGGUCUGGGAUGACACACAUUCACACUGGAAGUAACUGGAUGAACACACAAAUAGCUGUAAAAGUUAAGCCAUAAUAUAAGAAAAUUCCCAAUUUUUAUUAUUUUUUGUAGUAAUUUGUUAUUCCAUUGGAUGAUGAAAAGGAGCACUGAGCAGCUGAACUGCUGUGAUGGAGUAUUUGACACUUCUAAGUGUUUUAAGUAGCAUUGUUUAACCACAGUUAGCAAUCAAGAACUACCCAGCCACUCACUCCCCUCUGUGGGAUGGGGGAGACAAUCAGAAGAGUAAAAAUGAGAAAACUGUAGAUUCAGAUAAAGACAGUUGAAUAAACAGAAAAGGAAGAAAAUUAUGAUUAUCAUAAUAAUAAUAGAGAAUAUACAAAACAAUUGAGUCACAAUACUGUUGCUUGACACUUGCUGACUGAUUUCUAGGCAAUCCGUGAGCAUGAACUCCAGCCCACUUUCUCACAGGCCUCAGCAUGAGGCCAUAAGGUCUGGAAAUAUCCUUUUGGCUGGUUUACAUGUCCCAUCUCAACUUCUUGUGCCACUCAGCUCUCUUCCUGGCAGGGCAGGAGAAACUUACUCUAGCAACAAAAACAGUGCAUUUUCAACAUUCUCAUACUAAAUUCAUAACACAGUACUAUACUACUUACUAGGAAAAAAAUUAACUAUCCCAGCCAAAACCAGAACAUAAAUAACUUGGACUUGUUGGAAGUGAAAAUCUAGUUGAAGUGAAAGCUAUGAAUUCAGAGCAAAUACUGUAUUACUGUAUGACACAGAGAUGACUGAUGGCUUCUAUUGAUCUUGGAAGCUGGCUGCACAGAGCUGAGUUUACACAGCUGUCAGCUGCUUUACAAAGCUAAAACAGAAGGAUAAAGAAUGGGUGUAAAACUGAGCUCCGUACUUAAGAGAUAGUCUUUGCAAUCAGAAGGAAUGAGAGAUGGUUAGAAAUCCGUGUUUUUCCACUUUGCAAGUUCCACUGUGGCCAACUAAUAGGGAUUUGGAUAGAAUUUUGGCAAUGUGGUGCCCAGCAUUCUCCUCAGGAUCUUAGUGAAACACUGUAUAUAUUGUUUGCUGUACUUCCUACAUUAACUCAUGCAAGUCAAGGUUUGGGCUGGUUGUUUCAAGGCCACUUGUCAGCUGCUCUGACACAGAUUGAAACAUUUAAGCCUCAAGUGGCUUUAGAACAUCCCACGCUCCAUAAAUAAGCUAUUGACAUUUAGAGUCCUCUGCCACUGAGAUGAAGAGAAGUGGUGCUUCUGCUGAUUCCUACAGAAUGCUGUGUUCAUGUUCUCUGUAUGGGCAUGAGGUAGUGCCUCUUCUGAUAAAACUUACAUAGCAGACAGGAUUCUGUAUUGUUAAAACCGAAAGGCAGUCUAUGGAUUUAAAAUCACAGAAUGGCUUGAGUAGGAAAGGGACCUUAGAAAUCAUCCAGUUCUGGGCUGAAACUUUGCCAUAGGUAGGGACAUCCCUUGCUUUGGGAAAAUGAUGCAUACAGUCUUGUAAAAGUGGCAAUUAGUGGUUAAUUUUGCAUGUUGAAGUCUCAUGGUAAGUAAAUACCAGCAAAAUGAAACUAAACUAAAGACAGCAUCAUUUUCUCUCUAUGCUGUUGAAAAUUUAGUGUUGGACAGACCUGUCUGUUACUUCCCAGUUGAGUCAUAAUUCAUGAAGUAUUUUUCACAAUGCAAGUUUUGUGGGUUUUUUUCCCAGCCCUUAUAUUUCACUUAAAAUAUCCUCCUGGAAUUCUAAUAUACAAAAACUGAAGCAAGUCCUUCCCAUGUUGGUCCCUUCCCUUCAGUGACCAUUGAACAAAUCAAGAUUUCCCUCUACAUCCCUGUUCUGUCUUUUAUCUGCAGUCCACUACAGAGCUGUUCCACCAAUGCAGGUGAAAAUCUGCCUUCUCCUUGUGAAAAACAACUGCUCACUUUGAAAAUUUAAAAAGGUUUAUUAAACCUCAACAAAAAUACAACAAAGGACUACAUAAGGAAAAAGCUGCAGUGCUGGGAACUGCCCCCCAGAGAUACCAUGUGGAUGGUUCACCUUCAAGAUGGACGCUCAGUCUUUUAUACCCCUGGGGGGUUGCAUCAGCCAGCCCUGGCCCCUCCCAAAGUCCAUCAGUCAGUUCUUCUUUGCCAUUUAUUGGUGGAGACUGCUUUCUUCUAACCUGAUUGGAGAUCAGGUGUUGCCAUGCCACAUCCCCCAAGCACCAAGCUUUUCCAUUCCCAGCUGCCCCAUGCAAGGGACACAAGUGCACACCUUCUUUCUACCUGUCCUAGAGAACCCAGGCUGCCUGAUGGCAACAAUACGGGGUUGGGGGUGAGGCAGGGCAGGAAAGGGAACUAUGGGAAGAACAAAGGGCAUCUAAACUACAAUAACAUAACUAUACAUCACUAAAGCUUUUCUUAAUAUUCACACAAUAGUUAUCCCUUUAUUGCGAGAGCAAAUCAUCUCAUUAUCCAUCUCUAACAUGCUGAAUAAAUUCACUAGUGCUAUUAUUAUAUAGGUAUUAUAUAGGUAUAGACUAUGGAGUGUAGCCUCAAGUGAGAAGAAACUGAACAUGGAUGCAAUGUCUGAAUAAGAAGGUGUAUGUGACACUUCCAGUAAAACACUGUGUCACAUACAAACUGUGUCACCUCAAAUCAUCUCCAUUUUCUUGAGUUCCCACUUCCAGUUAGGGCAUCUGCAUUGACGCCAGAUGAAUUGCAGCAAUCUAUCACAACCACUUUGAAUUGCUAUUUCAUAUUUGUAGAGGGCUCUUGUUGCUGGGUUGUUUUGUUUGGGAAGGGUUUCCUUUGAGGUUUGAGGGUUUUUUGGGUUUUUUGGGGGGUUUUUUGUUUGUUUGGGGGUUUUUUUUUGUUUGUUUGUUGUUUGGGGGGGGGAUUUUUUGUUAUUUUUCUUCCUGUUAUGGAUAAGGGGGUAAUUCGUGCUGCAAAUGUAAUAUUAAUGUAAUAUAAAAUGAAGCUUUAAGCUCAUGCCAGCCGAGGGGAGAGGUGAUUGUCACACAGGACAAUCACAGCGGAGGAGGAGGUGCAUCAUUACCACACCAAGUAAACCUAGCCUGCACAGGAGAUGGGCACUCCCGAUGGCAUGAACGAGAGAACGCCCAGCGAUGAUGGCCCAUGUAGAUGUCCACCUCAGACAGACAGGACCACCAAGGACAUACAUCUGAAUGAAGGGCUCCGGGAACUGGGGACAGAUACACUUCAAUUCCCGGACGAGGCUUUGUCCAGCACAGGACAGAGAAUAGACACAGCAUGAAUAUGGAGGACUCCAGGAGGGGACAAAGGGACUCUGCCGGGGGCAAGAAAAAGAAUAUAAAAAUGGAACUCUGCCAGGCCUCGGUGGUGAACAGGGGGAUUUGGUGUGAUAGAGGCUGGAUCAUCAUUCACCCACUCCAGUCCCGGGGUUGGUGCUGCUUUUUGAUUGUUGGCGGUCAGGACUGUAUAUCAGUCAUGAAUAAAUUUAAUUUUUAUUUUUUA